AGUGAACGCUGGCGGCAGGCCUAACACAUGCAAGUCGAACGGCAGCACAGUAAGAGCUUGCUCUUACGGGUGGCGAGUGGCGGACGGGUGAGGAAUACAUCGGAAUCUACUUUUUCGUGGGGGAUAACGUAGGUAAACUUACGCUAAUACCGCAUACGACCUACGGGUGAAAGCAGGGGAUCUUCGGACCUUUCGCGAUUGAAUGAGCCGAUGUCGGAUUAGCUAGUUGGCGGGGUAAAGGCCCACCAAGUCGACGAUCCGCAGCUGGUCUGAGAGGAUGAUAGCCCACACUGGAACGGAGACAGGGUCCAGACGCCUACGGGAGGGAGCAGUGGGGAAUAUUGGACAAUAGGAGCGAGCCUGAUCCAGCGAUACCGAGUGGGUGAAGAAGGCCUUCGGGUUGUAAAGACGUUUUGCUGGGAAAAAAAAGCAGCAGGCUAAUACCCCGCUGUUGUGACGGUACCCAAAGAAUAAGCACCGGCUAACUUCGUG
rnacentral:rRNA from 1 species